GUGAUUCUGUGGUCUGCUCUUGCAGGUCUCUACUGACAGAAGAAUGUUUCAGAAUGGGUUUGUUCUUUGCAAAACAACAGGAGGGCAAAGCCGGGCGGCCCCCAAGCCUGCAGAGACCGUGCCCCGCGGCGAGGCCACCCCUCCGCUCAGUUGCAGUCGAUCAUCCAACUGCUCUGCCCUGGUAGAGCAAUCGGCGCAGGCACCGGUGAGGUGAUGGCAGAAGCUGGGGAAGCUGAAAUGGAGCUGCUGCGGUUUUCCAGCGCAGAGGUGCCAAGAGUAAAGCAGUCAGCUCACCUCCGGAGCCGUGCACUUCACGGAGCUCCACAGCCCCUCGGAAAUGGAAGCUCGGAGAAACUGUCUCUGUGAUCUUUAAUGGAUUUUUAAAGAUGACAAGAAAGGAAAUGGGAAACUAAAGGCAUGGAAGACAUAAAUUCCCUAAAGGUGCAUUCUGAAGUAAAUCAGAGCAACUGAAAAAGUGAACUCUGGGAGCCCUGGGAUAUCUCCCAGGUUUUUCCGCCGGACACUUACGGUUUGUCGGGUCCCUGAACACUCCUGCUCUGGGCAUGCUUUGACACAAUAUGUUGGUAUCAUUGCUACUGUCCCUCCUGGCUCCUCUCCCUGUGGCACCAUCCGACCUCACAUCCCCGCCAGGCUGGGGACGCCCCCUGCCCUCCCAGCGCGCUCCAGCACCAGAGCUGACGGAGCACCCAUCAUCGUAGCAGGGCCUUAGGCUGAAACGCUGGAGGAACUACCCCGUCAGAGCACUUCAGCGCCUUCGGCUCUUCUGGAUGCUCAGCCUCACUAAAAAGAAUCUGUUUUUAAUCUUGACCUCUUACCCCCUAUUUGUCUGCAAUCUGUUGGUAAUCAAGCUGAUUAACACUGAUUCUGGAGAUCCAGGCUAGCUUUGGAAAACCUUAAUUCCCAUCUUUUAUAUUGUUUAUGUGCAACAUAUGCAGUACAGGGGAAAAAAACCCCCUCCUGAUGUAGAGUGAAAAGCUGAGCCUUAAUAAAACUGUUGGCAAGAACUGUGGAGGGAGGUAUUCCGAUCCUAUGACACCGGAGCAGCUCCUUCAGCCCGCUCCGUUUGGGAAGCGUUGUUCUGGCUGCUUCUCUGGUGUGGAUGGGUCCAUGGAAUAUCGCAUUUUCCCAGUCAGUCACAAUUUUACCCAAAACCCGUAAAUGACAACAAUCAGAUAUGAGAAAAAUAACCCCUUUCUGUAUUUUCCAGCAGUGUGGAUCGUUGGAACUUCUUUCAAGUGUGAGCUAAAGCAUGUAAGGAAGGUGAUGUCCUCAAAGCCAUCAGCAUUAUCAGCCUCAUUCUGGAGCCUGGAAGUCAAUCGCAAGCAGGUUUGGGGGUUAUUAGCUCUCCAGCACCAGAGCCCUAUCGAUUAAUGAGCAUAUCUGGAGACCUAUACGGGAGGGAGAAGCGCGAGGGAUGCGAUCACGUACUACCUGAUGCUGCUCAUGGGGAAUGGCAAUUACCAUAGAGAGAACUCAGGAUGUCGUCCUUAAGACUGAUGUCAAGAGAUUUGAUAUCUGCAGAGCCAACACCACUUUUCAGACCCACCAUCAGCUGAAUUACCUGGGUAACACUACUCUUCACCAUGGUGAGAUGUGACAGCAGAGCAUGGCAGGAUACGCUUUGUGUUUCGAAGGACAGAGUUGCUGCAUCUUUAGCCAUUCUGGGACUUUGCCAUCCCUGGCUGUUUCCAGGAUGAAGCCGUUCACGAAAGGCAAACCAUAUCUCAAAUGCAGCCACCAAAGGCACAGAAAGCCAUCAUCGAAGCAUACCACGUCCUCCCUCAGCGCAGGAAUUCAGCAGCAGAAUGAGAAAACUGGAUUCCUGGAGCAUACCUGCAGAUCCAGAAGUAAUAUGGCUGUUUCUAAACCAACAUAAAGCGUCACACACAGACUUGAUGGCUUUCCAUCUCCAGAUAGACAUAACUUACGUGGCCAGUCACUAAAGGAAUUUGUUCUUUAGCAAAGUGAGACCAGAAGUCAAGAAUGUGACAUGGUGUCGCACGCUGUAAAACAAAAUGCGCCUGAUCCAAAGGCAAAGUUUGCUCUUUUCCACGCACCGGAGCACCUAAAGGCAGCAGGACGGAGUGACUCGGGUCAUGAAUGUGCAGUUUGGAGCUUUUCUUGUUUGAAGCAGUAAUUGCGCCGCCCAACACUCGCUAAGAAGCUGCUGUUUGCAAGGCAAAUAUUUUGCAUCUAGUCAUUACUGGGUUUGUUACAGGCUGUGGACGCGUAAUAAAAAAUGACUACAGUAAUAUCUCGAUGAUAGUCCCUGCACUGAUCAACUGCAAAUGAUCUGAUUAACAGUCAGCUGCUGAUUCCCAGUUUAAUUAAUCCUGAUGGGCUAUUGAUGCGCUGCAACUGUUUGUCCUAAUAAUGAGUUUUGAAAUUAGACUGCGACAAGCCACUUAGACAGCUGCCAAGGAAAAUAAUCAUUUAGGAGGGCGAGCAAUGGAGACAACAGAGGAGGAAUGGCUGCGAUUUGACAGAAAAUUCACAUGGCUGUGUCACAUGUGCUUUAUUUUUACAUUUGGAGCACAUUAGCCGUACCAGCGGUGGUGUCCCUGGCAGCUGGCUCCGUACUGGAACGGCGAGAAAUGUGUUGUGUGAGUCUACGUGGCACAUUCUGAGGAGCAGCCAAGCCUGAGACUCCUGCUGCGACCCGAGAGAUGAAGGUCUCCAGCACUGGU